rnacentral:rRNA from 1 species
CGUGGGUAACCUGCCCAAGAGAUCGGGAUAACACCUGGAAACAGAUGCUAAUACCGGAUAAUAACAGAUGAUGCCUAUCAACUGUUUAAAAGAUGGUUCUGCUAUCACUUUUGGAUGGACCUGCGGUGCAUUAGCUAGUUGGUAGGGUAACGGCCUACCAAGGCGAUGAUGCAUAGCCGAGUUGAGAGACUGAUCGGCCACAUUGGGACUGAGACACGGCCCAAACUCCUACGGGAGGCAGCAGGC